GGCGGCAUGCCUUACACAUGCAAGUCGAACGGCAGCACGGGAGCAAUCCUGGUGGCGAGUGGCGAACGGGUGAGUAAUACAUCGGAACGUGCCCAGUAGUGGGGGAUAACCCGGCGAAAGCCGGACUAAUACCGCAUACGACCUACGGGUGAAAGCAGGGGAUCGCAAGACCUUGCGCUAUCGGAGCGGCCGAUGUCAGAUUAGCUUGUUGGCGGGGUAAAAGCCCACCAAGGCGACGAUCUGUAGCUGGUCUGAGAGGACGACCAGCCACACUGGGACUGAGACACGGCCCAGACUCCUACGGGAGGCAGCAGUGGGGAAUUUUGGACAAUGGGCGCAAGCCUGAUCCAGCCAUGCCGCGUGCGGGAAGAAGGCCUUCGGGUUGUAAACCGCUUUUGUCAGGGAAGAAACGCUCCGGGCUAAUACCUUGGAGUAAUGACGGUACCUGAAGAAUAAGCACCGGCUAACUACGUGCCAGCAGCCGCGGUAAUACGUAGGGUGCAAGCGUUAAUCGGAAUUACUGGGCGUAAAGCGUGCGCAGGCGGCUUUGCAA
rnacentral:rRNA from 1 species